GAUGAACGCUGGCGGCGUGCCUAAUACAUGCAAGUCGAGCGAACGGACGAGAAGCUUGCUUUUCUGAUGUUAGCGGCGGACGGGUGAGUAACACGUGGAUAACCUACCUAUAAGACUGGGAUAACUUCGGGAAACCGGAGCUAAUACCGGAUAAUAUUUUGAACCGCAUGGUUCAAAAGUGAAAGACGGUCUUGCUGUCACUUAUAGAUGGAUCCGCUCUGCAUUAGCUAGUUGGUAAGGUAACGGCUUACCAAGGCAACGAUGCAUAGCCGACCUGAGAGGGUGAUCGGCCACACUGGAACUGAGACACGGUCCAGACUCCUACGGGAGGCAGCAGUAGGGAAUCUUCCGCAAUGGGCGAAAGCCUGACGGAGCAACGCCGCGUGAGUGAUGAAGGUCUUCGGAUCGUAAAACUCUGUUAUUAGGGAAGAACAUAUGUGUAAGUAACUGUGCACAUCUUGACGGUACCUAAUCAGAAAGCCGCGGCUAACUACGUG
rnacentral:rRNA from 1 species